GGGCGUGUGGUCUAGUGGUAUGAUUCUCGCUUUGGGCGAAGUCUGGGCUAAACCCGGACUCUAAAACCUAAGUAUGUGAGAGGCCCUGGGUUCAAUUCCCAGUACGCCCC
rnacentral:tRNA from 1 species